GUAGGGUGCGAGCGUUGUCCGGAUUUAUUGGGCGUAAAGGGCUCGUAGGUGGUUGAUCGCGUCGGAAGUGUAAUCUUGGGGCUUAACCCUGAGCGUGCUUUCGAUACGGGUUGACUUGAGGAAGGUAGGGGAGAAUGGAAUUCCUGGUGGAGCGGUGGAAUGCGCAGAUAUCAGGAGGAACACCAGUGGCGAAGGCGGUUCUCUGGGCCUUUCCUGACGCUGAGGAGCGAAAGCGUGGGGAGCGAACAGGGCUUAGAUACCCUGGUAGUCCACGCUGUAAACGGUGGGUACUAGGUGUGGGGUCCCAUUCCCACGGGUUCCGUGCCGUAGCUAACGCUUCAAGUACCCCCGCCUGGGGAGUACGGCCGCAAGGCUA
rnacentral:rRNA from 1 species